UAAAUGAAAGCCAAAAUAAGAGGCACCUAGCUGUUAAUUAGGAGAUUGUAGGUUUCUACUCAUUUAG
rnacentral:tRNA from 1 species